rnacentral:sRNA from 1 species
AGUGCAGGCGCCCGAGCCGCCGCCGCUAGAUCGGUGCCGAUUCCUGCCCUGCCCCGACCGCCAGCGCGACCAUGUCCCAUCACUGGGGGUACGGCAAACACAACGGACCUGAGCACUGGCAUAAGGACUUCCCCAUUGCCAAGGGAGAGCGCCAGUCCCCUGUUGACAUCGACACUCAUACAGCCAAGUAUGACCCUUCCCUGAAGCCCCUGUCUGUUUGCUAUGAUCAAGCAACUUCCCUGAGGAUCCUGAACAAUGGUCAUUCUUUCAAUGUGGAGUUUGAUGACUCUCAGGACAAAGCAGUGCUCAAGGGAGGACCCUUGGAUGGCACUUACAGAUUGAUUCAGUUUCACUUUCACUGGGGUUCACUUGAUGGACAAGGUUCAGAGCAUACUGUGGAUAAAAAGAAAUAUGCUGCAGAGGUAAGAUAUACUUUUUUUUUUCUUUCCAGGGAAAAAUGUUUAUAAGCUGAUAUUUAGCAUUAAUUUCAAAAGCUUAAUUUGUAAAUUCAACUCACGCCCAGUGAACCACUUCUUUUACAGAAGAUCUUCACAUUUGCUUUUUAUAACCUUUAAUUGUGACAUCAU